GUAGCCGGCCGGAUAAGUCUCUUGGGAAAUCUGGCAGCUUAACUGUCAGGCUUUCAGGAGAUACUGUCUGGCUCGAGGCCGGGAGAGGUGAGAGGUACUUCAGGGGUAGGGGUGAAAUCUUGUAAUCCUUGAAGGACCACCAGUGGCGAAGGCGUCUCACCAGAACGGACCUGACGGCAAGGGACGAAAGCUAGGGGCACGAACCGGAUUAGAUACCCGGGUAGUCCUAGCCGUAAACGAUACUCGCUAGGUGUCGGCAACGGUGCGACCGUUGUCGGUGCCGUA
rnacentral:rRNA from 1 species